AAGUCUCACAAGGCCCCCUGAGUCUCUCUGACACCGUAUUUGCUUUUUCCCAUAGCCCUGUUGGACAAAGGAUUAUAACAUAAUUCUUACCAUCCUGCUGCCUCCCAGGGUUUCACAAUUUUCAUAUUUCCAAUCUGGGUUCUACAGAAAACAAGCCUGGAACAGAGCAGAUGGCACAGAAUUUCUAUGGAUAUUUAUCACAUCAUUGAGAGAAUUCAUUGCCUUGGAGCUUUGUGAGACCAGGCAAAAGUGAUCCAAGAGUUGGUCAUGUGUGAAUGAGAAGAGUAGCUCAAUAAAGGAGUAGGAUCAUCCUAAAUAAUUUCUCA
rnacentral:lncRNA from 1 species